AUUUUUUUUUUUUUUUUAACAAAGAAAGCUAAGUCUUUGUAGCUGUUUGAGCUGGGCUCCACACCCUCAGUUUCCUUUCCGGAAACAGGGCCCAGGGCAGGGAAGCUCUGUGCUUUGUGUCCUUUAGUGGCUCUUCUACAGUGAUCUCCCUCAGCCUGCGAGCUCCUGGAGCGGAGUCUCUGUCUCCCAGAACCGCCCCUAGGGGGCAGCUCAUAACAGUUCUUCAACAGUUACGUUUCUCUCCAGAAAAGGGUUCAAACUGGCUGAAUGUGCAGGGACAGAAAAGGGGAUUUAAUUUCAUGCCUCUCUUACCAAUGUGAGUGCUGUUCUCUAUAUUUUAGCUCAAAGAAUAGUCAACCCUGAUUAACUAUCAAAAAUCAUAUGAUGAUCUAGGGGCACCUGAUGGCUCAGUCAGUUAAAGCAUCUGCCUUUGGCUCAGCUCAUGAUUCUGGGGUCCUGGGAUUGAGCCCGACAGCAGGCUCCCUGCUCAGUAGGGAGUCGGCUUCUCCCUCUGCCCCUCCCCGUGCUUGUUCUCUAUCUCUCUCUCUUUCAAAUAAAUAAAUAAAUAAAUAAAUAAAUAAAUAAAUAAAAUCCUUAAACAAAAUAUCAUAUAAGGAUCUUAUUAAAAUGCCUAUUUCCAGGGUGCCUGGGUACCUCAGUCUGUUAAGCAUCUGCCUUUGGCUGGGAUUAUGAUUCCAGGAGUCCUGGAUCAAGCCCCAUAUUGCAUUGGGGUCUCUGCUCAGUGGGGAGCCUGCUUCUCCCUCUCCUUCUGCCACUCUCCCUGCUUGUACUCUCUUUUUCUGUGUUAAGUGAAUAAAUAAAUAAAAUCUUUAAAUACAAUAAAUUUCCAUUUCCAUUCCUUCCUAGGAGAUUCUAAUCCCUUUAGUUUGGAGUUCAGCCCAGGCAAUCUGUAUUUUUAACAAGUACCCUAGGUGAUUCUGAUGAACUGUAGUUGGGAAGCAAGAUAUUAUACCCUUUAUCCCACAGUGAUGUGGCCCAUUUUGCAGUUGAGAAAACUGAGGCUCAGAGAAAAAUUAACUUGCCCCAAAUCAUAGUUAGCUUGACCUUCUCCAAAGCCUCUAUGUUCCAUAUGACGCCAGGCUUUACAUUUGUUAGCAUGGACCUGCAGAGUAGAGAGCCUCUCUCCAUGCAGGACUGGAAAUUCUGACAACAAAGACCUUGGCAAACACCCUACAUUCCUCUUCCCUAUUUCCACUGAAUGUGGUGAGAAUACAUAUUGUAUUUGAUUCCUAAGCCUGUUAUAACAAAGUACCACGGGCUGGGUGACUUAAAACAACAAAUUUGUUUUCUUUUUUUUUUACAAAUUUGUUUUCUGAAAGUUCUUAGAAGCUCAAAGUCCAAAAUCAAGAUGUUGGCAGGAUCACGGUCUCUCUGAGGGAUCUAGGGAAGACUUUGUUCCAUGCAUUUUUCUUAGCUUCUGCUGUUUCCCAGCAAUCCUCGGCAUUCCUUGACUUCCAGCGAUGUGACUCCAAUCUCUGUCUCCAUUUCAUGUGUUGUUCUCUCUACAUGUCUCUCUUUUUUUUUUUAAAGAUUUAUUUAUUUAUUUAUUCAUGAUAGAGACACACACACACACACACACACACACACACACACACAAACACAAGAGGAGGGAGAAGCAGGCUCCACGCCGGGAGCCGGACGCGAGACUCGAUCCCGGGACUCCAGGAUCACGCCCUGGGCCAAAGGCAGGUGCUAAACCGCUGAGCCACCCAGGGAUCCCCUGUCUCUUUUCUUUUUAUAAGACACCAGUCAUACUAGGUUAAGGACCUACCCUACUUCAGUCUGACCUCUUCUUACAUAUUAAUUACAUCUGCAAAGACCCUGUUUCAAAAUAAGGUCACAUUCAUAGGUACCAAGGUUAGGGCUUCAACAUACCUUUUGGGAGGGGAAUACCCCCCCAAAUAUCUAGGAUAAUCAGAAAGUAUCAAACAAAAGCAGGAUUCUAAUGCUGGACUUACACACCCAAUCACUAUGGUGAUACUUAGUUUCUAAAAGCAGGUACAAUCCAAGGGCCAGAUGGGAAGAGAAGCUGUGGUGGGCACAGGGUGAGAUUUGGGCACUGUGCAUGGCACUUGACAGUUAAGGACUUUGAUCUGGCAUCAAAAUAGUUCAUAAAUCUGGCUCAACUAGAUUUUAUUCAUUCAGUCAACAGCUCUGUAGGCUUCUCAUGUGCCAAGAUUGGGUAGGGAGCAAGGCAGGUGGGAACCAUUCAAUCAUGGCUUCUGGUUUAUUGGGGUGACUGACCACCAGAGGAUCACACUAAUGAGGGCACAAUUACAAACUAAGAUCUGUGCUCUAAGAAGAAACCUGGUGUCACCAAGGAGACCUUCCUGUUGCUGUAUUUACUCCCUCCCUUCCUUCCUUUCCCUCCCAUUCUUCCUCCUUCCCUCCCUUUUAUCAAUUAACCUUCUC
rnacentral:lncRNA from 1 species